GCUGUUUUUACAGUACCCUAUAAAAGAAAAAUGAAGGUGGAUUUCUAGUAUGAAAAGAAUCCUCUUAGCAAAUGUAUUAAAACUAAGAAAAGAUGAGUCAGGGAAUGAGGGAGAGCUGCAGCCUCUGGAGAGGAGUGGAACUGAGGAGUGAGCCUAAAACAGUGAGAAGAGUGUUGAGACGAAUUGCCCAAGAUAUUUCCUUAGAACAGAAACCAUUGGAGAAGAGGGAUGGUCCACUGGGUGACGAAAGGUCCAGACUGAGAGCUGGAAAAUCUACGGCAGCCUGAGAAGCUGCGAGUGCUGAGUGAGUCUGGGACUGCAGAAGAUAGAAAGAUCAUUUUGCACAGAAACUCCAAGAUCUGGCUUCUCUUCCUACCUCUGCUUCCUGGGAGGUGGUUCCAGAUGACUAUUAAAACUCGCUUCUUGAAGGCGUUCAGAAACUGUGUGCCAUUGCUUUCUGCUGAUGCCUGUGGAGAACCAAGUAGCAGAACAUCUCAAUUCACAAUUGCAGCUAAGCUGAAUGGGGAACUGUGGUUGUAAGAG
ensembl:lncRNA